AUAUGCUAAAGCACAUGAAAAAAAUAAUUUAUUUUAAUUUCAAUUUAAGUGUGUUGUCCAAAAUGACAUUUGUUAAUGUAUUUUAAAUGUGCUUAGUCUUUAAUAUAUAGUAUACUGUGUGCAUUAAUACACCUCUAGAAAUACUGCUUAUAAUCUGUUUUUCUUUUUGCAUUUGAAAAGUAAGGUGUUCAAUUACUGUUUGUGUUUGUAAUAUGUAAUAUUUUUGUGCUUAUCUAGUUAAAUAUUCAUUUUGUAGGAUCAGUACAGAUCUGUCAAUGGAGAUACAGUGCAAGCUGUGUGGAAUCAAAGACCCGUAUUGAUGAGGCCAGUGUCAGUGAAGAUGGUGUGGCCACUGGAAUCCUGGUGUUUGUGGGAAAUGUGAAGGAUGUUCUCCCAGGAUUCUACUACAGUGUUGUCCUGAUGACUGAGGUAUUUUUUUUUUUUGACUUUCCUGCCUCUUUGGAACAUGUCCAUUUACGCAUACUGUGUAGAGAUGGUGCGCAGCUUCAUGGACAUUUGAGGUUUUCUGCCGAUGGAGAGCUUCUGGGACAUUGACAUAAACAGCACUUUUUCCUACAACUUCAAAAAAGUUGGUGAUAGACAAUUUUGGUUUCUUGUUUUUGUGCCU